GACAGAGGUGCCAAGCGUUAGGCGGAAUCACUGGGCUUAAAGCGUGUGUAGGCGGACUUGUAAGUACCUUGUGAAAUCCCACGGCUCAACCGUGGAACUGCUUGGUAUACUGCUUGUCUUGAGCCACUUAGGGGCUACCGGAACAAAUGGUGGAGCGGUGAAAUGCGUAGAUAUCAGGAGGAACACCGAUGGCGAAGGCAGGUCUCUGGGCCGAUACUGACGCUGAGGAGCGAAAGCGUGGGGAGCGAACAGG
rnacentral:rRNA from 1 species